rnacentral:tRNA from 1 species
UCCCUGGUGGUCCAGUGGCUAGGACUUCACCUUCCAAAGCAAGGGAUGCGGGUUCAAACCCUGCUCAGGGAG